rnacentral:rRNA from 1 species
AUGGAUUGCGGUACUGAUGAGCGCCAAUAUGGCCAUGGCGGCGACGGUGACGCGGCGGAGUGGAAGAAGGUGGCGGAGCUCAGGGAGGUCGUCGAGGCACAGGACCCCUCAGCAAAGGAGGAGGAUGACUUCGCGCUACGGCGGUUCCUGCGUGCCCGGGAGCACAACAUCAAAAAGGCGUCGGCGAUGCUUCUCCGGUACCUUGCCUGGAAGCGUGUCACCAUGCCCCAUGGCUUUAUCUCGGACGACGAGGUGCGGGGCGAGAUCGCAAAGGGAAGGGACCACCACCAGGGUUUUGACCGUCUUGGUCGCCCCAUGUCGUAUCUCUAUGGUGGGUGCCACUUCCCCGUCCGGGGUGAUCACGAAGAUCUCAAGCGCUACGUGGCCUACGCUUUUGAGAAAAGCUGCACCAGGCUGUCCGCAGGACAGGAGAAGUUUGCGGCAGUGAUAGACCUGAAGGGAUGGGGGUACGCGAACUGCGACAUGCGGGGGUACCUGGCAGGGCUGGACAUCAUGCAGAGCUAUUACCCGGAGAGGGUGGGCCGUGUGUUACUGAUCCACGUGCCCUACAUAUUCAUGGCUGCCUGGAAGAUGGUGUACCCCUUUAUUGAUGACAAGACCAAGAAGAAGUUUGUGUUCGUCGCUGAUAGGGACCUCGACGCCACGCUUAGAGACGCCAUUGACGAGUCCCAGCUCCCCGAGGAGUACGGUGGCAAGCUCAAGUUCCAGGCCUACAACAAUUUUUCACCAUCAUCCAAGUCCAUCUAA